GAAAAAUAAAUUACAAUAAAUUAAUGUGAAGGAUAUAUGUAGGAACAACAUUACACAUGCAAUAAACACUUUACACUAGUUGAUCAGUGUCCCCUAGGGUGGUCCUCCUUUCAUCCCUUUACUUAUCUCCUGCUGGUCUAUAAUCUCACAAUGCAUUUGGUUGUGAACUUGUAUUUUAAUUGAAUUACAACCUAUUCUGACAUGCUAACGAGAACAUGCAGAACAUGUUGUAGAUACCUGUCCAACACUUUGUGGACACAGUCCUUGAUGUUCCGCCCACCAACUCUUGAAAUUUGCAGCACCUGUUGGAAUAAGUCCAUAAUAAAGUUGACUGACACUAGGGCUGAACGAUUAUUGGAAAAUAAGAUCAUUGCGAUUAUUUUGACUAAUAUUGCAAUUGCAAUUCUUGUGCUGCCUUCCUUCGUUUAAUUUGUUUUAGGUUGAAACCAUACAUUGUUCGUUUGGUUUGCAUUGAGAUACAUUGUGUGUGUCGCCCCCUAUGGAAUGUAUUUGGUACCUAGGAUGCACGGGCGGGAAAUGAAAACGUCCCCAGUUGAAGAGCAAGACGCGCAGUUGAACUCAGCUGUUGUUGUGGUUAUUGUCUUAUUACGUUUUUGCCUUGGACACUAUUUAUCUAUUUUCAGCUAUGAGCUUUGAAGCGAGAGCAGCCUUUCAAAUUCUCUCACUAACUUCAAUGGAGAGGUCAUGCAGAGGCCUGCUCAACAGAGUUCAAUAGAGGAUGCUGAGAGCAACAACAGAGAAUGCUGAGAGCAUCACAGACCCCUUGCUGGACUAUCCCUCUCUAGCUGGACAGCUUCAUUCACCUGCCCUGCCCUGCCUGCAGGCCCUACUUGCCCCUGCCUGCCAGCCUUCCAGAGACAGACAGUCACCCCACAGACACAGUAGCUCUGCAGACUGCUUUUUUGAGGACAUUGAUGAAAAAGGACAAACCAGCAUUUUUUACUUUGAUGAAAGUCUAAAUGUUUAAUCCUUUCCAUGUCCCAGUAUGCCAAGCUGCUGACUGAGUGUCUUAAGUGAUGAAACCAGUUCAAGUGAUAGACUUUUGACCUGAAUCCAAUGAUUAUUCAUCUGAAUA